GUCAGAAUAAACACACGCCUUCUAUAUCAACAAACAAAAUUUAACCUCCUCAGGGAAGAAAGUGAGGGCUAUUCCAAGCUUGUUACUCUUCUUUGUCAAAAUGGUGUAGAUGCUGUCAGCCAGAAUACAUCUUCUGGUACAAUCAGCUUAAUUAAGUCAUUGAUUGGACACUUUGAUUUGGAUCCAAAUCGUGUCUUUGACAUUGUCUUGGAAUGUUUUGAACUCUAUCAUGACAAUAGCAUAUUCUAUAGUCUCAUUCCUAUUUUUCCUAAGUCACACGCUGCCCAAAUAUUGGGCUUUAAGUUCCAGUACUAUCAAAGAAUUGAAGUUAGCUCUCCAGUGCCUUCUGGCCUUUAUCGACUUGCUGCAUUGUUGGUUAAAUCAGACUUUAUUGAUCUUGAUAGUAUAUGUGUCCAUUUACUUCCGAAGGAUGAGGAGGCAUUUGAGCAUUAUGAUGCUCUCAUUGCAAAGCGAUUUGAAGAAGUUUGUUCUUUCUUCUUUUA